GAUGAAUGCUGGCGGCGUGCCUAACACAUGCAAGUCGAGCGGCAGCGCGAGGAGUUUACUCCCUGGCGGCGAGCGGCGGACGGCUGAGUAACGCGUGGGAACGUGCCCCAAAGUGAGGAAUAACUGCCCGAAAGGGUGGCUAAUACCGCAUAUGAUCUUCGGAUUAAAGUCUUCGGACGCUUUGGGAGCGGCCCGCGUCGGAUUAGGUUGUUGGUGAGGUAAUGGCUCACCAAGCCGACGAUCCGUAGCUGGUCUGAGAGGAUGAUCAGCCAGACUGGGACUGAGACACGGCCCAGACUCCUACGGGAGGCAGCAGUGAGGAAUCUUCCACAAUGGGCGAAAGCCUGAUGGAGCAACGCCGCGUGAAGGAUGAAGGCCCUCGGGUUGUAAACUUCUUUUAUAAGUGAAGAAUAUGACGGUAACUUAUGAAUAAGCACCGGCUAACUACGUGCCAGCAGCCGCCGUAA
rnacentral:rRNA from 1 species